AUACCGAAUAGGACCACGGCAUUCAUGUGCUGUGGUGGAAAGCUUUUGCGGUGUGGGAUGGGCCCGCGGCCUACCAGCUUGUUGGUGGGGUAAUGGCCUACCAAGGCGACGACGGGUAGCCGGCCUGAGAGGGUGUCCGGCCACACUGGGACUGAGAUACGGCCCAGACUCCUACGGGAGGCAGCAGUGGGGAAUAUUGCACAAUGGGCGCAAGCCUGAUGCAGCGACGCCGCGUGGGGGAUGACGGCCUUCGGGUUGUAAACCUCUUUCAGUACCGACGAAGCGCGAGUGACGGUAGGUACAGAAGAAGCACCGGCCAACUACGUGCCAGCAGCCGCGGUAAUACGUAGGGUGCGAGCGUUGUCCGGAAUUACUGGGCGUAAAGAGCUCGUAGGUGGUUUGUCGCGUUGUUCGUGAAAACUCACAGC
rnacentral:rRNA from 1 species